AUCUUCUUCAUAUGAACGAAAUCAGCAAGGGGGGAAGCCAUAGUUAGGGUUUUCAAGCUUCCAAGCUCCAUAAUCAAGAAGUACGAAACUCGAGGUUAGACAAAGGGAAGAAUAAAGUUGAAGACUAAGUUGGUGAAUUUGGCUAUAAUUGGUACCGAGUAUUGCAAAGCUACUUCAAGGAUCCUAAAGAAGUCGGAGAUCGUCCACACUAUCAACUACAACUGCUCGGUAUUUUAUAUCGAAACACGUUUGAGUUAUGGCAUGUAUAGGGAUUUAGUUUUUUUGUAUGUUUGUAAUGAUGAUUUUGCUAAUGAGUGAUGUGUAAGUAUUUGAUGAUGUAUGGUCAUUAAAAUGGUUAAGGAUGAAGGUGUUUGUUGUUAUGAAA